rnacentral:lncRNA from 1 species
CAAAUAUUGGAGCAUUUUACAUUCUGGCUUUGAGAUAUCUUUAGAUCAGGCUUUGCACGGUGUUUUACAGAUCAAGGACUAAAUUCUGCUCCUGCAGAAUCUCUUGAUGUUAGUUGUAACUAGCAUUCAUCCAUGUAGGCAGGCAGUACAAAGGGAUAACUUUACAAAUUGCUGGAAUGCAAUCACAUUUGGGGCACAAAGUAUCUGCUAUUUAGCAACCAGUGUCCACGUUCCAAAAGUGGAAGUGAAGAAGGGCAGAACCAGAUCCAGCUGAAACUGUGAGGGGGACUGUGGCAGGCAGAAUGCAAUUUGCUUCACAUGAAACUGUCAACCCCUGCUCCUCCAGGGCUGCUAUUAUUAAUCUUGAGAAAAAUGUCAUGGGACUUUUAAUGACCAAGAGUGGUCAAAAACCUUGGUCUUCUGUCUCAUUCAAGUAACAGAGCCUCCAGCUCUACCCGGCUUUUAACAUCCAAAGACAACUGAUCAGCUCUUAAUUUCUCCCAGGAGCAGCCCUCUUCAGAAGAGCAAUCCAAACUUGGCUGUAAUCAAUGGAAAAACAAAACAAAACAUUUUGCGGACUUUGUAACCAGCUAGGUGGACAUUACUGAUAAAGAGGACCGAUGUUGAUGAAGAGGAUGAUGUGUCUUUGCUGCUGGAUGUGCCAACCUCUUUGAGCCUGUCGUCCCCUUCCGUUUGUCUGCAGAAUGAUGAAGAACAAGGAAGGAUUAGAUGGCCCUUCAUCUAACUUGUGGUGCAGUUUUUUAUAUGAGACUUUUUGUAUCUCUAUGUGUACCCUGGCAAGGAAGGAUCUCCUGUCAACAUUUUCUGAGUCCCAGCACUUGGACCUGAGCUUUGGAGUUCCUGCCAACCUUAUGCAAACCAGAACUGUAUGAAUAAAUUGCUACAUAAUAAAUAAAUUACUAUUUUUUUCCA